rnacentral:rRNA from 1 species
CCCUUAGAUGUUCGGGGCCGCACGCGCGCUACACUGAAUGGAUCAGCGUGUUUCUAACCUAGGCCGAAAGGUCCGGGUAACCCGUUGAACCUCAUUCGUGAUUGGGAUAGGGACUUGCAAUUGUUUCCCUUGAACGAGGAAUUCCCAGUAAGCGCAAGUCAUCAACUUGCGUUGAUUACGUCCCUGCCCUUUGUACACACCGCCCGUCGCUACUACCGAUUGAAUGGUUUAGUGAGAUCCUUGGAUCGGCCCUGUCGCGGCUGGCAACGGCCGCGUCGGCGCGUCGAGAAGACGAUCAAACUUGAUCAUUUAGAGGAAGUAAAAGUCGUAACA